ACUCCUACGGGAGGCCGCAGUGGGGAAUUUUGGACAAUGGGCGAAAGCCUGAUCCAGCCAUGCCGCGUGAGUGAAGAAGGCCAUGGGGUUGUAAAGCUCUUUUAGUCGGAAAGAAAGAGUUGCAAUGAAUAAUUGUGAUUUAUGACGGUACCCACAGAAAAAGCACCGGCUAACUACGUGCCAGCAGCCGCGGUAAU
rnacentral:rRNA from 1 species